GUACACUCCUGCGGGAGGCAGCAGUGGGGAAUAUUGCACAAUGGGCGCAAGCCUGAUGCAGCCAUGCCGCGUGUAUGAAGAAGGCCUUCGGGUUGUAAAGUACUUUCAGCGGGGAGGAAGGCGAUAAGGUUAAUAACCUUGUCGAUUGACGUUACCCGCAGAAGAAGCACCGGCUAACUCCGUGCCAGCAGCCGCGGUAAUACGGAGGGUGCAAGCGUUAAUCGGAAUUACUGGGCGUAAAGCGCACGCAGGCGGUCUGUCAAGUCGGAUGUGAAAUCCCCAGGCUCAACCUGGGAACUGCAUUCGAAACUGGCAGGCUAGAGUCUUGUAGAGGGGGGUAGAAUUCCAGGUGUAGCGGUGAAAUGCGUAGAGAUCUGGAGGAAUACCGGUGGCGAAGGCGGCCCCCUGGACAAAGACUGACGCUCAGGUGCGAAAGCGUGGGGAGCAAACAGGAUUAGAUACCCGAGUAGUCCCAUG
rnacentral:rRNA from 1 species